GUUUGAUCCUGGCUCAGAGCGAACGGGUUAGCGGCAGGCUUAACACAUGCAAGUCGAGCGACAAAGGGGCUUCGGCCCUGAGUAGAGCGGCGGACGGGUGCGUAACACGUGGAUAAUCUGCCUCGUGGCGGGGGAUAACAGUCCGAAAGGACUGCUAAUACCGCAUGUCAGGUCGGAAACCCCGGUUUCUGACGAAAAAGAGGGCGCCCGCAAGGGGCUCUCACCACGAGAUGAGUCCGCGGCCCAUCAGCUAGUUGGCGGUGUAAUAGACCACCAAGGCUAAGACGGGUAGCUGGUCUGAGAGGAUGACCAGCCACACUGGGACUGAGACACGGCCCAGACUCCUACGGGAGGCAGCAGUGGGGAAUAUUGGACAAUGGGCGAAAGCCUGAUCCAGCCAUGCCGCGUGAGUGAUGAAGGUCUUCGGAUCGUAAAGCUCUGUGGGAAGGGACGAAAAAGCCUAACCUAAUACGUUAGGUCUUGACGGUACCUUCUUAGCAAGCACCGGCUAACUCCGU
rnacentral:rRNA from 1 species